GUGGGGAAUAUUGGACAAUGGGCGAAAGCCUGAUCCAGCCAUGCCGCGUGUGUGAAGAAGGUCUUCGGAUUGUAAAGCACUUUAAGUUGGGAGGAAGGGCAGUAAGUUAAUACCUUGCUGUUUUGACGUUACCAACAGAAUAAGCACCGGCUAACUUCGUGCCAGCAGCCGCGGUAAUACGAAGGGUGCAAGCGUUAAUCGGAAUUACUGGGCGUAAAGCGCGCGUAGGUGGUUUUGUAAGUUGGAGGUGAAAUCCCCGGGCUCAACCUGGGAACUGCCUCCAAAACUGCAUGACUAGAGUACGGUAGAGGGUAGUGGAAUUUCCUGUGUAGCGGUGAAAUGCGUAGAUAUAGGAAGGAACACCAGUGGCGAAGGCGACUACCUGGACUGAUACUGACACUGAGGUGCGAAAGCGUGGGGAGCAAACAGGAUUAGAAACCCUAGUAGUCC
rnacentral:rRNA from 1 species